rnacentral:rRNA from 1 species
AUACCGCAUAAGCCCACGGUACCGCAUGGUACUGAGGGAAAAGGAUUUAUUCGCUUUAGGAUGGACUCGCGUCCAAUUAGCUAGUUGGUGAGGUAACGGCCCACCAAGGCGACGAUUGGUAGCCGGACUGAGAGGUUGAACGGCCACAUUGGGACUGAGACACGGCCCAGACUCCUACGGGAGGCAGCAGUGGGGGAUAUUGCACAAUGGGGGAAACCCUGAUGCAGCGACGCCGCGUGGAGGAAGAAGGUUUUCGGAUUGUAAACUCCUGUCGUUAGGGACGAUAAUGACGGUACCUAACAAGAAAGCACCGGCUAACUACGUGCCAGCAGCCGCGGUAAAACGUAGGGUGCAAGCGUUGUCCGGAAUUACUGGGUGUAAAGGGAGCGCAGGCGGGAAGACAAGUUGGAAGUGAAAACCAUGGGCUCAACCCAUGAAUUGCUUUCAAAACUGUUUUUCUUGAGUAGUGCAGAGGUAGAUGGAAUUCCCGGUGUAGCGGUGGAAUGCGUAGAUAUCGGGUAACACCAGUGGCGAAGGCGGUCUACUGGGCACCAACUGACGCUGAGGCUCGAAAGCAUGGGUAGCAAACAGGAUUAGAUACCCUGGUAGUCCAUGCCGUAAACGAUGAUUACUAGGUGUUGGGGGAUUGACCCCCUCAGUGCCGCAGUUAACACAAUAAGUAAUCCACCUGGGGAGUACGACCGCAAGGUUGAAACUCAAAGGAAUUGACGGGGGCCCGCACAAGCAGUGGAGUAUGUGGUUUAAUUCGAAGCAACGCGAAGAACCUUACCAGGUCUUGACAUCCGAUGCAUAGCACAGAGAUGUGUGAAAUCCUUCGGGACAUCGAGACAGGUGGUGCAUGGUUGUCGUCAGCUCGUGUCGUGAGAUGUUGGGUUAAGUCCCGCAACGAGCGCAACCCUUAUUGCCAGUUACUACGUUAAGAGGACUCUGGCGAGACUGCCGUUGACAAAACGGAGGAAGGUGGGGAUGACGUCAAAUCAUCAUGCCCUUUAUGACCUGGGCUACACACGUACUACAAUGGCGUUAAACAAAGAGAAGCAAGACCGCGAGGUGGAGCAAAACUCAAAAACAACGUCUCAGUUCAGAUUGCAGGCUGCAACUCGCCUGCAUGAAGUCGGAAUUGCUAGUAAUCGCGGAUCAGCAUGCCGCGGUGAAUACGUUCCCGGGCCUUGUACACACCGCCCGUCACACCAUGAGAGCCGGGGGGACCCGAAGUCGAUAGUCUAACCGCAAGGAGGACGUCGCCGAAGGUAAAACUGGUGAUUGGGGUGAAGUCGUAACAAGGUA